CAGGCGCAAUGCUGUAUAGAUCUACACAUCUGGUUUAUUACUGUGGUUCUGAAACUGACGCUAUGUAAAUGCGCAAUAAUUCCGAGAAAUAAGAAUGAUUUCUUGUAAUCAAAUACAGCUCAGUUUCUUGGAAAUAUUUUGUGCAUUUAAAAACAGUAAGCCGAUGGAUAUAUUUACAUGUUCGUAUUUCUGUGAAAAUGUUACUUACCUCAUACAGUAUCAAUUUUAUUGCGGUAUUAUUUCCUAUUUUGUUCAGGCUAUAUCGUGUCUGUUAAUACAAAAAAGUGGUUAGCAUAAAAAUGUGUUUAUAUUGUUCUGAAUCCGAGUUGAACAAGGGUUAGAUUAAAAAAGAAGAAGGGAGUGUAAUUUGAAACUUUUACAAGUGUGAAUAGGUACGACGACCACUUAUUAUUUUUCUUCGAUACGAUCGUGAAAAUAUUUUAUAUAAACGAAGGAAAAAAAGAAAUGAAAAUAGUUAUGAUCAGUGCUCUUUCCUUUGAAGUAUUCAUCAUAAUGGAGACACUACUGGCAGUUUCGUACAGUUCCGGAACCAAAACUUUUGAUGUAAUUUCAGAUGACGGUUCAUCUCUACCUGUAAAAGAGUACCGGUCUCAUUUAAUUCCUGUCAAACGUUAUGCAAUACAUAAAAUAUGCCGUACAUUUGAGGGAAAGCAAUACCUGUACAGGACAAUGAAGUCAAAAUUUUGCGGAAUUGGAUGUAAGUAAAGACUACUUACAAAGUAACGUUUACUAGCCAUUUUGUUAUGGAUUUAUGUAAAAGCCAGCAUAGGCGUCUGUUGAUUAAAUGGGUGAAGGAAUUAUUCGAUAUCGAUCGCGACGGAUAUAUUUCACAUUACGAGAAAAACUUGUACUUAUUUGACGAAUAAUGUUGGGUACACUAAAAGAAAGGAGGAUGCACGCAAGUUGGAAUCAUCUAUUGAAACCGACAUGUUCUUUGUUGUACAUCAGUGACUGAAUAUUUCAAAGCGUAAAGGAAUGAGAACAUAAAACAAAUUCACAAACUUUACAACGUUUUUGAAUUGCCGAUUUUGGCGUAAGAACAAAGAUAUUGAUGAUAUCAAUCUAGCAGAUACAAGUUUACACAUUCUAUCCGUGAACUUUGCAGGGCGUACUUGUAUAACGUUUCGGUUUUAGAGAUAUAAUCACGCCUCUGUGCACAGAAAAUAGCAUGCAUUACUUACGACAUGUGAUCAAACGAGAGAAAUUCUAGAGUGGAGACAUGCAUCUAUCAGCGAGUAUGCAGUAAAAUAAUGACUCUUGUGCACGGCUUGUUGCUGGUCAUAUCAGUGAGUGCCUAUGGAGUAUAUCUAGCUUGUAAAAUGUUUACUUGAACAUGUAGUAUAAUAUUGCAGAAACUGACUCUCAGUAGAAUGAUAAACCAUAUAUUUUUCAGUAAUUAAAGGUUGCCAGUCAAAAGUCAAAACUGUUCCCCGAAUGCAGAAGGACUGAUGGCCGGUGCGUUUGAAUGUGUAUGUUGGUAUAUUUCUGCCAACCACAUAAUCACUUAUUUAUAUAGAGUAUUUUUCGUAUCAGAUAUUUCGUAAACAAAAGCGCCAGAAAAUAUCGGCAGAAAUUCAAAAUGUUCUAUUUUUAGCUAACUGCAAUCAACGAAGCUUUUACAAUAUUCCCUUAUUUAUGUGAAUGUAUGAUGGGAGUAGUGUGCACUGAAAGGCAGGUUUGUCCUAUUAAGAUGAUUAUCUUGAUAAUACGAAACUUUUCCACUUGCCAGAUAACUGGAUAUGUUACAGUUUUAGUGAAUACUGUUUACAUAAAUAAGUGAAUGUGUAACUGACAGAUAUUACCAACAUAACUUCGUGUUUGACAUCAAAAAUAAAUUAGGAAAAUUUAGUGUUGAAUGAAUGACCGAUCAAUAGCAUAAGAUAUGGCACGGCGUUUUGUAAGGAGACGUAUAUACAAAUAUUAUGUUCGAAAUAUCUGAAACUUUUGAUAACAUAUGUCUCUCCAGCUAUACUGUGCACCUAACAAAUAAAUAAAGGUGUAAAUGAGGCAAUACAAAUCAAAAAGUUUUCUUUAUCGAGUCUUUUACAGGACUAUUCGUUUUGUUGAUUUCCUUAAAAACGAUGUAACACCGUUGCUAUUAAACAUUUUAUUCAUAAUUUAAGGAUGGUAACACUUGUUGACAACUGUACAUGUAUAACAAAAAUCUGAUAUUCUUGGAGUACAUCUGAGAAAAGAAUUAUAUAUUAGGAAUUGAUGCGAAAAAUACGACAGAACCUGACCGGCAAAUCCUUGAAUUGCCCAAAAAUAUUUCAUUUAUAUUUUAUUUCUUUACAUUUUUGACCUAAAUCUUAUUUCGAUGUCUGAAUUAUGUAACAGUCAGUUUUGUUUUUAUACUGGCCGCGUCAAGAUUAGUCUACACUAACUAUUGUCUUUUUCAAUAAUGCACCGUUUUUGUCAGUGUUUUCCCAAGGUUUUCUUUUAUUUACUGUUUCAUUGGAUUUGUAAACGUACUAAUGAAGAAAUUUUACCAUCGUGGCCAAAAGGACUGCCCUUAGGAAAACGUUGUUUAUUUCAAUCA
rnacentral:misc_RNA from 1 species